AGCCCUGUAGUUCAAUGGUAGAAUAUCGGUCUCUGAAACCGAAGACGAAGGAUCGAUACCUUCUGGGGCUG
rnacentral:tRNA from 1 species